AAGAAGCCGGUGGUGAUGGCCUAGGCCUGUAAUUCCAGCCCCUGGUAGGCAGAGGCAGGAGGGAUCACAAGUUCAAACCCAGGCCUGACAUCUUUGCCACACCUUGUCUCAAAUCUGAAGGCAAGUAGAUCACAAGUUGAAGGCCAGCCUGGGAAACUUGGUGGCGCUCUGGAGCCUAGAGAGUCUGGCUCAAAGGCCCCAGCACAGACAGAGGCACAGGGAAGGGGUCUCAGCAGCUCAGUCCUCCCUGUACCCAGUCUCUCCUCAGAAAGGACACACGGAAAGGAAAGGCUGGCCAUUGAAUUCCUGACGUGCUGCUUGCAGGUGACUCUGAGCUCCCUGUGUCCAAAUCAUCAUUCGCUCACUAAAUAUUUCUCUCAUUUGUGCAUUGUUCCUUGCCUGUUCUCACCUCUGGAGACUGAGGGAAGUGAGAUUCUGGGAGCUCACAGUCUGAGCAGGGAGAGAUUCACCGCACAGUCACGCCCUGGACUUUGGAGCCAGCUGAGUAUACGGGAGAUGAGCACUGACGACUGAGCCCUCCCGCACAUCCUGUGCUCUGCAUCCCCCCUCCUGUUCACGCUCGGGGGAUCCUUGGCUGAGCCAUGAUGUUUGCAAUGGUUUAGCACCUGGUGACCUUUGAGGACGUGGCCGUGGACUUCACCCAGGA
rnacentral:lncRNA from 1 species